rnacentral:rRNA from 1 species
AGUGAACGCUGGCGGUAGGCCUAACACAUGCAAGUCGAACGGCAGCACAGUAAGAGCUUGCUCUUACGGGUGGCGAGUGGCGGACGGGUGAGGAAUACAUCGGAAUCUACUUUUUCGUGGGGGAUAACGUAGGGAAACUUACGCUAAUACCGCAUACGACCUACGGGUGAAAGCAGGGGAUCUUCGGACCUUGCGCGAUUGAAUGAGCCGAUGUCGGAUUAGCUAGUUGGCGGGGUAAAUGCCCACCAAGGCGACGAUCCGUAGCUGGUCUGAGAGGAUGAUCAGCCACACUGGAAGUGAGACACGGUCCAGACUCCUACGGGAGGGAGCAGUGGGGAAUAUUGGACAAUGGGCGCAAGCCUGAUCCAGCCAUACCGCGUGGGUGAAGAAGGCCUUCGGGUUGUAAAGCCCUUUUGUUGGGAAAGAAAAGCAGCAGGUUAAUACCCCGCUGUUCUGACGGUACCCAAAGAAUAAGCACCGGCUAACUUCGUG